UACGAAGGGGGGCUAGCGUUGCUCGGAAUUACUGGGCGUAAAGCGCACGUAGGCGGCUUUCUAAGUCGGGGGUGAAAUCCCUGGAGCUCAACUCCAGAACUGCCUUCGAUACUGGAGAGCUCGAGUCCGGGGAGAGGUGAGUGGAACUGCGAGUGUAGAGGUGAAAUUCGUAGAUAUUCGCAAGAACACCAGUGGCGAAGGCGGCUCACUGGCCCGGUACUGACGCUGAGGUGCGAAAGCGUGGGGAGCAAACGGG
rnacentral:rRNA from 1 species